UUCCGGACCAAAGAGAGGCCUGGGCCCUCUGUCGCAGCCACAGCAGCUCUGAUGUGUGUGUAGGAUGUACGCUUGUGUAUGAGUGUGCAUUUGAUGGCAGCUCCAGCUUUUGUCUGAAGAGGUCCUGGCUAACGUGGUUAACCAGGGGUCUUACAUCACACGCGAUUCUCAGUAACGAGCCUUCUUUUCUUCCAGGCAGGGGCAGAACUUCCGUGCGGAACCAUCAGAGCCAUUCCUGGCAAGACCGUGCUGGCGCGUCCCGGCCAAAGGUCCAGUAAAUUCAUUCCUGGAUGUACCCCCGAGAGAGAUGAGGAUCCCAGAAGCACCUCUGAGCGAUGCUAUCAGCUUUCUUCACAAUAACCGCCAGUAGGAAGCAACACAGCUUCGUAUGACCAGGAGCGCAGAACAGGGGGCGUAAGUUCCUGCGAUUAGAUAAUAAUAGCAGGGAAAAGAGCAACACGCCGUUGGACGUCACAAAACAGGUGAAUCUGAGACACGACAUGGAUGGAAAAGGCCGUGCACAGACGCGACUCCAUUCGCACGAAGUUCAAGGGCCAGGCAAACUAAUUUCUGGCGAUGCGGGUCAGAAUAGCUGUUCCCUACGGUGAGGGGGGGACACGGGGUGGGAGGGGCUCGGG
rnacentral:lncRNA from 1 species